GCCAAUUAAUUUAACUUGGGAGUCAGAACAUGGGUGAUAAGGUCCGUGUUCGAAAGGGAAACAGCCCAGACCACCAGCUAAGGUCCCAAAAUAUAUGUUAAGUGGAAAAGGAUGUGGCGUUGCCCAGACAACUAGGAUGUUGGCUUAGAAGCAGCCAUCAUUUAAAGAGUGCGUAAUAGCUCACUAGUCGAGUGACACUGCGCCGAAAAUGUACCGGGGCUAAACAUAUUACCGAAGCUGUGGAUUGUCCUUUGGACAAUGGUAGGAGAGCGUUCUAAGGGCGUUGAAGCAUGAUCGUAAGGACAUGUGGAGCGCUUAGAAGUGAGAAUGCCGGUGUGAGUAGCGAAAGACGGGUGAGAAUCCCGUCCACCGAUUGACUAAGGUUUCCAGAGGAAGGCUCGUCCGCUCUGGGUUAGUCGGGUCCUAAGCUGAGGCCGACAGGCGUAGGCGAUGGAUAACAGGUUGAUAUUCCUGUACCACCUAUAAUCGUUUUAAUCGAUGGGGGGACGCAGUAGGAUAGGCGAAGCGUGCGAUUGGAUUGCACGUCUAAGCAGUAAGGCUGAGUAUUAGGCAAAUCCGGUACUCGUUAAGGCUGAGCUGUGAUGGGGAGAAGACAUUGUGUCUUCGAGUCGUUGAUUUCACACUGCCGAGAAAAGCCUCUAGAUAGAAAAUAGGUGCCCGUACCGCAAACCGACACAGGUAGUCAAGAUGAGAAUUCUAAGGUGAGCGAGCGAACUCUCGUUAAGGAACUCGGCAAAAUGACCCCGUAACUUCGGGAGAAGGGGUGCUCUUUAGGGUUAACGCCCAGAAGAGCCGCAGUGAAUAGGCCCAAGCGACUGUUUAUCAAAAACACAGGUCUCUGCUAAACCGUAAGGUGAUGUAUAGGGGCUGACGCCUGCCCGGUGCUGGAAGGUUAAGAGGAGUGGUUAGCUUCUGCGAAGCUACGAAUCGAAGCCCCAGUAAACGGCGGCCGUAACUAUAACGGUCCUAAGGUAGCGAAAUUCCUUGUCGGGUAAGUUCCGACCCGCACGAAAGGCGUAACGAUUUGGGCACUGUCUCAACGAGAGACUCGGUGAAAUCAUAGUACCUGUGAAGAUGCAGGUUACCCGCGACAGGACGGAAAGACCCCGUGGAGCUUUACUGUAGCCUGAUAUUGAAAUUCGGCACAGCUUGUACAGGAUAGGUAGGAGCCUUUGAAACGUGAGCGCUAGCUUACGUGGAGGCGCUGGUGGGAUACUACCCUAGCUGUGUUGGCUUUCUAACCCGCACCACUUAUCGUGGUGGGAGACAGUGUCAGGCGGGCAGUUUGACUGGGGCGGUCGCCUCCUAAAAGGUAACGGAGGCGCUCAAAGGUUCCCUCAGAAUGGUUGGAAAUCAUUCAUAGAGUGUAAAGGCAUAAGGGAGCUUGACUGCGAGACCUACAAGUCGAGCAGGGUCGAAAGACGGACUUAGUGAUCCGGUGGUUCCGCAUGGAAGGGCCAUCGCUCAACGGAUAAAAGCUACCCCGGGGAUAACAGGCUUAUCUCCCCCAAGAGUUCACAUCGACGGGGAGGUUUGGCACCUCGAUGUCGGCUCAUCGCAUCCUGGGGCUGUAGUCGGUCCCAAGGGUUGGGCUGUUCGCCCAUUAAAGCGGUACGCGAGCUGGGUUCAGAACGUCGUGAGACAGUUCGGUCCCUAUCCGUCGUGGGCGUAGGAAAU
rnacentral:rRNA from 1 species